UACGUAGGGUGCAAGCGUUGUCCGGAAUUAUUGGGCGUAAAGAGCUUGUAGGCGGUUUGUCGCGUCUGCUGUGAAAUUUCGGGGCUCAACCCCGAACUUGCAGUGGGUACGGGCAGACUAGAGUGUGGUAGGGGAGACUGGAAUUCCUGGUGUAGCGGUGAAAUGCGCAGAUAUCAGGAGGAACACCGGUGGCGAAGGCGGCUAUCUGGACAGAGUCUGACGCUGAGGCGCGAAAGUGUGGGGAGCGAACAGG
rnacentral:rRNA from 1 species